rnacentral:rRNA from 1 species
UACGGGGGGGGGCAAGCGUUGUUCGGAAUUACUGGGCGUAAAGGGCUCGUAGGCGGCCAACUAAGUCGGAUGUGAAAGCCCCGGGCUCAACCUGGGAACUGCAUUCGAGACUGCAUAGCUAGAGUAUGGGAGAGGGAAGUGGAAUUUCAGGUGUAGCGGUGAAAUGCGUAGAUAUCUGAAGGAACAUCAGUGGCGAAAGCGACUUCCUGGACCAAUACUGACGCUCAUGUGCGAAAGCGUGGGGAGCAAACAGG